UUUGACUUUGCAAGUCUUUCAUCAGUUCUUAAGAACUGCAUUUGGAUGUACGGUAAUUUGUAUUCCUGUCACAUCAGUAUAUGGAAAUCUUGUGUUUAUCAAUAAGAGAUAACAAGUGGAGUUCCACAACAAAACAUUUCAACUGAUUGCUGAUGUAUGUGUAUGUCAUCUGAUUGCUUGUAGUUGAGGGUGGGUGAGAGCAUAAAAUACAGUAGUCAGUGAUUUAAUCUGGGUCAUGUACAACGUAUGUUUGAUUUCUUUGAAAGGCAACUGGGUACUUAAUUUGGUCUAGGAGGAGGUCUGAGAGGGCAAUUUAAGUCAUUUAGCGUUUGACAAGCAGUUUAGAGGAGGGUCUGAGGUUGGUUAGGAUUUCCACUUAAAAUCCCCCACACUUCAGAAUGCAUCACAUAUAAUUGUUAUUAACUUAUUCCCUCCUAACACAAACCCAGCUUUCACUGGCAUGCAGAAUCUUUGUGCUCAUUUAGCACACUACCCACACUAGCGUGGGCUGUACUGGUAGGCUAUCUCACAUGAAACUUGGAUGCACAGUGGCCUGCCUAAGCCCCCAGAGGUCCUCUUAUUUGACUAUGAAUCAUGCCCAAUGCCCCUCUCCAACCACAAGAGAUGGGAAGCUCAGUUGACUGGCUCCCUGCCAACUCAACUCUGACCACAACCAAUUGACCAGACCAGCCUGUACGUUCAACAAGGGUUGUAUUCGACAAAGCAAUAAGAUGAAUGGUUUAUUAAUACAAAGAUUUUGCCUACUGGCCCAAAUGUUUGAUCCUAUCUGAAGACUGUCUUUUUUAAAAAAAGGAAUUAUUUUUUGAUAGGUUUUUCUAGUCAUAAAUAAAUACAUAUACAUUUUAAAGUCUGGGGGAGGCUGAGCUGCAGCAACUUGCACCCAGUAUCACUUCUGCUGUAUACUCAUUACAACCUGCUGCUCCUCACAUCCCAUAUUCUGCUGGUAGAGGUUGCUCCUGUUUAUGUGCUACAUGAUUCCUUCAAAUCAUGUACCAAGAAAACAAUGUGUACUCCCAGAAUGUUUAGUAAUGUGGCUACAGUGUCUUUCUGUAAAUGCAUACCACACAUCUCUGUUACUCCAUUGUCAGUUUCUCUGGUUUUUUUUAUCUGUUGCAUCUCAUGUUCCUAUCACACCUAAUUCUUCUUCCUGAAAUGUUUUCAGCCAAUCAUCUUCAGGCACCUUUCCCUUUCUUUUGCCAUUUUCCUCCAUUUUGUUCUAUCCAUCACUGGCCAAGCUCCAUGCACAUUGAAACUAUAACCUACUCUCUCACCAUUCUGCUCUGUCCUUUACCAAGCUCCACCUACAUUCCAAUUGUAAAGCUACUAACUCCUUGCAAGGAACAGAAUAUAUUUCCUCAUCCGCUGCCCAUUCUGCACCAGAGUGGGGUGCUCUAGUCUAGAGGACUUUUUCCUGCCAGACAAAGUGUUGAUAAUGAUCCUAUGGAGGAGACUCAGUGAGUCCAAUGGUCAGACAUUGCCUCAGGACUUUAGGCAUAGCUCUUACAAUGUGAUCAUCCCAAUGAAACUGACCUCCAGAUGUGGAAAACAAGAACCCCGAGACAUUACCUAGCUGCUCAGUUUGAGGGAAAGAGCCAUGUGCUGAAGCUCAGGCAAAAGAGGGGCCUUGUCCCUAAAAAUGUACCAGUCUUCACUUACACUAAAAAGGGGUCUUUUAACUCCUAAGGUCCCAGGUUUUCCUGGGUGAGAACUUGACCAAGAUCUAAAUACAAAAAGGGGGGGAACCUAGGUACUAACCCAUGGGUUAUAUCCGCAUAUCCCACAUCCUCCAGUCUACUCUCAGAAUAUUAGUAAAAUUCCAAAGAAGGUCCCUUCAUCAAAUGGAUGUUUUGCACCUACCCCAAAUCCUUCAUGUCAUACUUGUCUAUUAUUACACUGUCAAUAUAUUGAACUAUCUCCCAUUUCUUGGUCCUCUGCUUCUCAACUUCCCAUUGCAUUUGCCUCUUCUUCCCAUAACCCUUUAACCCAGCUAUCUCUAUUACACCUUUCCCCUUCCACCAUGUGCUUCCCUAUUCUCCAUUCUAUUAUUUCUCUGAUUCUCCAGGCUCCGCCUACAUUCUAAAGGUAACUGCAAUGACUGUUGCCAGGGUCAGAAUCCUCCCUUUCCUUGUCUAGCUCACAUACAACCACCUCAUCUUCUUUCUGGUCUGCUCUCAGCUGAGUUGUGGGAGGCUUUUGGGGCUGGGAUAGAAAGCUAGAGCAGGGUAUUCUGGAGGUUGCUUUCCACUGUCAGGGAAAAUGAUUAGCCACCAUGUGUGGCUGCUAGUGCUGAUUUCAUUCAAUGUUGUGAGUGGGAAUGCAGAUCAGAAACCACCACAGGGUUUUAGAUAUGCCUCUUAUGAGGUGACCAUUCCAAAGAAAUUGACCCCUAGAUAUGGAGAACAAAAUCCCCAUGAUGUCACCUACCUAUUGCAAAUUGAGGGAAAAGAGCAUGUGAUUCAUCUCAAGCAAAAGAGGGGCUUUGUCCCUAAACAUUUCCCUGUCUUCACUUACAGUAAGGAAGGGGACCUCCAGACGGACUAUCCUUUCAUAAGAGAUGACUGCUUCUACCGUGGCUUUGUCCAAGGCAAGCCUUCCUCUUGGGUUACCCUCAGCACUUGUUCAGGGGGCCUCAGGGGUCUGCUGCACUUAGAAAAUGACACCUAUGAAAUUGAGCCUAUUCAGGGAUCUACUACUUCUCAGCACAUGGUAUAUAGGUUGGAAGAAACGGAGGAUACUAUCCGUAUGAGGUGUGGGCUAACAGAGGAAGAACAACGUCGUCAAGAGGCCAUGAUCCCGGAGAGAGAGCAUUUACCAGCCAAACGUUCUGAAAAUGACUGGUGGACAGACUCCAGCUGGUCAAAAAAAUAAUCUCAAUUAUUGUGGCAACGAAAUAGUGGAAGAUGAAGAGCAAUGCGACUGUGGCUCACCAGCUAAGUGACUAUACUGCUAUAUCACUUAAGAAGACUGAUUUCAAGAGUCCAUCCAAUAGAAUCAAUGCAGGAAGUAAGCACACAGUAGAUCAGAG